GCAAGUCGAGCGGACAGAAGGGAGCUUGCUCCCGGAUGUUAGCGGCGGACGGGUGAGUAACACGUGGGUAACCUGCCUGUAAGACUGGGAUAACUCCGGGAAACCGGAGCUAAUACCGGAUAGUUCCUUGAACCGCAUGGUUCAAGGAUGAAAGACGGUUUCGGCUGUCACUUGCAGAUGGACCCGCGGCGCAUUAGCUAGUUGGUGGGGUAAUGGCUCACCAAGGCGACGAUGCGUAGCCGACCUGAGAGGGUGAUCGGCCACACUGGGACUGAGACACGGCCCAGACUCCUACGGGAGGCAGCAGUAGGGAAUCUUCCGCAAUGGACGAAAGUCUGACGGAGCAACGCCGCGUGAGUGAUGAAGGUUUUCGGAUCGUAAAGCUCUGUUGUUAGGGAAGAACAAGUGCGAGAGUAACUGCUCGCACCUUGACGGUACCUAACCAGAAAGCCACGGCUAACUACGUGCCAGCAGCCGCGGUAAUACGUAGGUGGCAAGCGUUGUCCGGAAUUAUUGGGCGUAAAGGGCUCGCAGGCGGUUUCUUAAGUCUGAUGUGAAAGCCCCCGGCUCAACCGGGGAGGGUCAUUGGAAACUGGGAAACUUGAGUGCAGAAGAGGAGAGUGGAAUUCCACGUGUAGCGGUGAAAUGCGUAGAGAUGUGGAGGAACACCAGUGGCGAAGGCGACUCUCUGGUCUGUAACUGACGCUGAGGAGCGAAAGCGUGGGGAGCGAACAGGAUUAGAUACCCUGGUAGUCCACGCCGUAAACGAUGAGUGCUAAUUGUUAGGGGGUUUCCGCCCCUUAUUGCUGCACCUAACGCAUUAAGCACUCCGCCUGGGGAGUACGGUCGCAAGACUGAAACUCAAAGGAAUUGACGGGGGCCCGCACAAACGGUGGAGCAUGUGGUUUAAUUCGAAGCAACGCGAAGAACCUUACCAGGUCUUGACAUCCUCUGACAACCCUAGAGAUAGGGCUUUCCCUUCCGGGACAGAAUGACAGGUGGUGCAUGG
rnacentral:rRNA from 1 species